UACGAAGGGGGCUAGCGUUGCUCGGAAUCACUGGGCGUAAAGCGCACGUAGGCGGACUCUUAAGUCGGUGGUGAAAUCCUGGAGCUCAACUCCAGAACUGCCUUUGAUACUGGCAAUCUCGAGUCCGGAAGAGGUGAGUGGAACUCCUAGUGUAGAGGUGGAAUUCGUAGAUAUUAGGAAGAACACCAGUGGCGAAGGCGGCUCACUGGUCCGGAACUGACGCUGAGGUGCGAAAGCGUGGGGGAGCAAACAGG
rnacentral:rRNA from 1 species